GUAUAUAAUUUGUGUUGGUAAUACUGAGGUAACUAGUGAGUACUAAGCGAUUUUUCGAUCUUCAAACAUUGAAAGUAAUGUUAUUGAAGUGCGUUUGGUUGUAAAUCUUCAAUUAAUCUAAAAAUAUAUAUUUAUAUUAUUGAAGAAAUUCAGAAACAAUAAAAAUAUUAAAAUGGAUGACAAAUUACGUCAAAUGGAAGAUGAAAUGAACAGGUUUGAAGCUGAAAUUGGUGGUCAAUUAGUUACACCAAUAGUCAGGCCUGUUAUUGGUGCAAAUACAUAUAAUCAAGUAGCUAGACAGUUAGAACAACACGAACUUCCAACACCAGUUGUUGCUGCUGCUGCAGCUAGUUUAGCUUUUCCUCCAAUGAUUGGAUUUCCACCUCCACCUCCACCACCACCGCCACCACCUCCACCACCACCAAUGCUAAUUCCUCAACAAGUAGCAAGACAAGGUACGGUUCCUUCUAUUACAACAUAUUCAUCACCUGCACAGAUAAGUAAUCCAUAUUUACCAAAUAUGGUGGAUCCGUGUUUAAGUGCUACUCCAAAAACUUAUGAAUCUACAUCAGCACCAAUGAUUCAUCCAGAAAUUAUUGAACAGAUUAUCAAUACAAAGAUCCCUGAAGAUGACAGCAAAAAGAAACCCAAGGUAAAAGGAGUUAGUACUGCAGCAGAAUUAGCAAUUAGUCAAGGAAAAGCAAGUUCUAUCAUGGCUAAUGCUAGUGCAGAAGAAACUCAUCCAAAAGGUAAAGGGAAAAAAAAUAAAAAAAUUGUACGAAUGGCUGGUGGACAAAUAUGGGAAGAUCCUUCUUUGCUUGAAUGGGAUGAAGAUGAUUUCAGAAUAUUUUGCGGAGAUUUAGGAAAUGAUGUCACAGACGAAAUGCUAGUAAGAGUUUUUGGAAAAUAUCCGAGUUUUCAAAAAGCAAAAGUAGUGAGAGAUAAAAGAACAAACAAGACAAAAGGAUUUGGAUUUGUAUCUUUCAAAGAUCCGCAAGAUUUCAUCAAAGCGAUGAAAGAAAUGAAUGGACGAUACGUAGGCUCACGACCCAUAAAGCUACGAAAGAGUUCGUGGAAACAACGGAAUUUAGAGACGGUGCGGAAAAAAGAAAAGGAAAAACAGGCGUUAAUUGGUUUAUUGACUGGUCGGUGACGUGACGGAUCUCCUUCAUUUCUUUUCUUGUUCAUACAUCAUUUAGUUCGGAUUCUGCGCUCACACGCGAGUGUUGGUUUUAUUCAUGAACAAUUGUCAUUGAGAAUGUGCAAUUGAGUAGAAACGAGAUCGAGCGUUGUAUCUUACAACGUAAUUGACCACCAUGUAAAAUUAUGUGCAAGUGAAUAGAAAUAAAUUCUUAUAUAUUAUAUUAUCAUUAUAUUAAUAAU
rnacentral:misc_RNA from 1 species